GGCGGACGGGUGAGUAACGCGUCGGGCAACCUGCCCCGGUGCCGGGGGAUACCGCCUGGAAACAGGCGCUAAUACCGCAUAAGCGCAUACAGCCGCAUGGCAGUAUGCGGAAAGCUCCGGCGGCACGGGGAUGGGCCCGCGCCCGAUUAGCCAGUUGGCGGGGUAACGGCCCACCAAAGCGACGAUCGGUAGCCGGCCUGAGAGGGCGGACGGCCACAUUGGGACUGAGACACGGCCCAAACUCCUACGGAAGGCAGCAG
rnacentral:rRNA from 1 species